GUAAUACUUAGGAAUCUACCUAGUAGUGGGGGAUAGCUCGGGGAAACUCGAAUUAAUACCGCAUACGACCUACGGGAGAAAGGGGGCACUUGUUGCUCUCGCUAUUAGAUGAGCCUAAGUCGGAUUAGCUAGAUGGUGGGGUAAAGGCCUACCAUGGCGACGAUCUGUAGCUGGUCUGAGAGGAUGAUCAGCCACACCGGGACUGAGACACGGCCCGGACUCCCACGGGAGGCAGCAGUGGGGAAUAUUGGACAAUGGGGGAAACCCUGAUCCAGCCAUGCCGCGUGUGUGAAGAAGGCCUCUUGGUUGUAAAGCACUUUAAGCAGUGAAGAAGACUCUUCGGUUAAUACCCGGAGACGAUGACAUUAGCUGCAGAAUAAGCACCGGCUAACUCUGUGCCAGCAGCCGCGGUAAUACAGAGGGUGCAAGCGUUAAUCGGAAUUACUGGGCGUAAAGCGAGCGUAGGUGGCUUGAUAAGUCAGAUGUGAAAUCCCCGGGCUUAACCUGGGAACUGCAUCUGAUACUGUCAGGCUAGAGUAGGUGAGAGGAAGGUAGAAUUCCAGGUGUAGCGGUGAAAUGCGUAGAGAUCUGGAGGAAUACCGAUGGCGAAGGCAGCCUUCUGGCAUCAUACUGACACUGAGGCU
rnacentral:rRNA from 1 species